CCUACGGGUGGCAGCAGUGGGGAAUAUUGGACAAUGGGGGCAACCCUGAUCCAGCCAUGCCGCGUGUGUGAAGAAGGCCCUCGGGUUGUAAAGCACUUUCAGUGAGGAAGAACGCCUGGUGGUUAAUACCCAUCAGGAAAGACAUCACUCACAGAAGAAGCAACGGCUAACUCCGUGCCAGCAGCCGCGGUAAUACGGAGGGUGCGAGCGUUAAUCGGAAUUACUGGGCGUAAAGCGCGCGUAGGUGGCUUGAUAAGCCGGUUGUGAAAGCCCCGGGCUCAACCUGGGAACGGCAUCCGGAACUGUCAAGCUAGAGUGCAGGAGAGGAAGGUAGAAUUCCCGGUGUAGCGGUGAAAUGCGUAGAGCUCGGGAGGAAUACCAGUGGCGAAGGCGGCCUUCUGGACUGACACUGACACUGAGGUGCGAAAGCGUGGGUAGCAAACAGGAUUAGAUACCCGAGUAGUC
rnacentral:rRNA from 1 species